UAACUUUUCUAACGACUCCCUCACCCUCUGUUUCUAUUGCCCCUUGUUUUUCUUCUCUUCAUCCCACCUCUAUUUAAUCCAACACACUCACUCUCUUCUGCAUUAUUUCCUAACCUUCCUACCAUAAAUUACAAGACAGAGACGUACGUUGAGACUAAUACUUGAGAUAUGGAGAACUUUCAAGGUAUAAUGGGAAAAUUAGGAAGACAAUGCUACGCAGUUUUUUGUUUGUGUGUUCUGCUCAUUUCAGUAGCCGUAACUCAUUAUUCCACUUUUGCUGAUCAAGAAUCCAAUGACCAAACCCGCCAUGAAUGCACCCGGAAGCGUCUCCAGGGCGUUCAAGCUGCUAAUAGGAUCAGAGACGAAUUUAGGAUUUAAAAUUUGCGGGUUCUAAAUAAAUGCUAUCUUAUUUUAUUUAUACAUUUUAAUCUACUUUUUCUAUGUAUACAUAAUUGAAAUCCCACCCCAGAUUCGCCUCUGUUAUUGAAGUGACUCACUCUAUAUAAAAGUCACAACCUUUUCGAAUACUUAGUUAUUUGAGUGAUGUUCUAAUUUACUCAUGAGAGGGGAGUCUUGGAGCAACGGUAAAAUUAUUUCCGUAAGAUUUAUAGGUCACGAGUUCGAACUGUUGAAGCAGUCACUAGUACUUGUAUUAGAAUAGGUUGUCUACAUCAAUAUUCCUUGGAAUGCGAUCCUUAUCCGAAUCUUGCAUGAAUACUGAAAUAUCUAGUGCACCAAACUGUUCUUUUUUACUUUUGUUAAUCUACCCCUGGUAAAGAAAGGAUCUAGAGUGAAAUUUCAAACGCCCUUUAAGCUUAGUU
rnacentral:lncRNA from 1 species